GAUGAACGCUGGCGGCGUGCUUAACACAUGCAAGUCGAACGGAAAGGCCUCUGCUUGCAGAGGUACUCGAGUGGCGAACGGGUGAGUAACACGUGGGUGAUCUGCCCUGCACUUCGGGAUAAGCCUGGGAAACUGGGUCUAAUACCGGAUAGGACGAUGGUUUGGAUGCCAUUGUGGAAAGUUUUUCGGUGUGGGAUGAGCUCGCGGCCUAUCAGCUUGUUGGUGGGGUAAUGGCCUACCAAGGCGUCGACGGGUAGCCGGCCUGAGAGGGUGUACGGCCACAUUGGGACUGAGAUACGGCCCAGACUCCUACGGGAGGCAGCAGUGGGGAAUCUUCUGCAAUGGGCGCAAGCCUGACAGAGCGGCGUCAUGUGAAGGAAGAAGGCCUGAAAUAGGUUGUAAACUUCUUUUACUGAGUAAUGAAUACUGACAACGCAGUAAAAAAGUAUCGGCUAACUCCGUGCCAGCCGCCGCCGUAAAAC
rnacentral:rRNA from 1 species